AGGACGAACGCUGGCGGCGUGCCUAAUACAUGCAAGUCGAGCGAGCUUGCCUAGAUGAAUUUCUUGCUUGCACCCAAUGAAACUACAUACGGCGAUGGGCGAACGGCUGAGGAACACUCGGCCCACCUGCCCGGGAUACUGCUAGAACACCUGGGAACAGGCGCUAAUACCGGAUAAAUCCACUGAACGCAUGUCUAAAGGUUAAAAGAUGGUUCUGCUAUCACUCUUGGAUGGACCUGCGGUGCAUUUGGUAAGGGGAAAGGUUACGGCUGACCUGAGCAAUGAUGCAUAGCCGAGAUGAAACACUGAUCUGGCACCUUGGAACUGACACACAGUCCAAACUCCUGCGGGAGGCAGCAAUCUGCAAUCUUCCACAAUGGACUCAUGUCUGAUGGACCCACGCCUCAAGAAUGAAUAAGGAUUUCAGAUCUCUGAGGUCUGUUGAUAAUGAAAAAGGAUAUAGGUGGCCUCUGGUCUUUAUUUGACGGUAAUAACUUAAAAAGUCACUGCUAACUACCUGCCACCAGCCUCCGUAAUACGUAAGUGGUAAGCGUUUUCCGGAUUUAUUGGGCGAGAACCGAGUGCAGGCUGAUCAUUAUGUCUGAUGCCAAAGCCCUCCGCUCAACCUGAGAAUUGCAUCGUAAACCGUGGAUCUUGAGUACGAAAGAGGAGAUCGGAGCUCCAUGUGGAACUGUGGAAUGCUAGAUAUAUCGAAGAACACGAGUGCCGAAGGCUGCUCUCUGGUCUGCGCCUGACCCUGAAACUCUAAAGCAUGAAUAGCAAAAGGAUCAGAUACCCUGGUACUCCAUGCCAUAAACGAUGAGUGCUAAGAGGUGUCAGCCUCCCGCCUCUCAGUGCUGCACCUUACGCAUUAAGC
rnacentral:rRNA from 1 species